ensembl:lncRNA
UUGCAUCUUUGUUUGUUUUUGCACUUACCUGGUGCACCAGCUCUAAAUCAGUCCCUGACUAAAGAAUGAAAAUGUAAAGUGGAACUUAGGGGAUUUGAGUAUCUCUUGACCUACACUACAGUGGGGUAGGGAUAAAAGAAAGUCACCAAGGUCCCAUCGUGUGUGUUCGUUUCGAAGUGUGUAAGCCCCUAUCGUUGUCUUAAUGUUCGUUUCGAAGUGUGUAAGCCCCUAUCGUUGUCUUAAUGUUCGUUUCGAAGUGUGUAAAGCCCUAUCGUUGUCUUAAUGUUUGUUCGAAGGUGUGCCCCUAUCGUUGUCUUAGUUCGUUUCGAAGUGUGUAAGCCCUAUCGUUGUCUUAAUGUUCGUUUCGAAGUGUGUAGCCCCUAUCGUUGUCUUAAUGUUCGUUUCGAAGUGUGUAAGCCCUAUCGUUGUCUUAUGUUCGUUUCGAAGUGUGUAAGCCCCUAUCGUUGUCUUAAUGUUCGUUUCGAAGUGUGUAAGCCCCUAUCGUUGUCUUAAUGUUCGUUUCGAAGUGUGUAAGCCCCUAUCGUUGUCUUAAUGUAUCUUAACUUAUUGUGAAUUCAUUUUUUUUUGUGUUGGACCUAAAUGUUGAAUCUUAUUUCCGUGUUCCAACUGCAUUAUGGGGGCUUCUAGUGCAAUAAUAACAAGAUGGGGAGGAAGAGUAGAACAAGACAUGGAUUUCUAUUGCCAUUAAAAUAUACAAUUUGUUUGGUUGCACCAAUGGAGUUAACGAAUCAGAGAAAUGGAAUCCCUAGAACCGGGAUCUACAUUUUGUUCUAGGGAUUAUAUUUCUAGGAUAACAGCAGAAGUUAUAAUGCAAGAAAGAAGUACAUAAAUAAUAUAUAGCAUUCAUGACUAAUAGGGCAACAUAUAGGCUUCAUAUCAAAAGAGGGACACCGUCAAGUGUAGGUUAUUUUAUAUUAAACUGUCCACUCUGAUCGGUGUGUUAGGCUUUAAUAUUGUCACGGGGGUUCUUUCCCUGACCAAUGUUGAUAUUAUCUGCUGUUUACACAGUAAAUUAACAGGUAAAAUCUCAAUGUCUUGGACCUAUUAUCAGAGCUAAUCCUCUCUCGCUCUCUCUGUGUGUGUAAGCUACAUAUUUCACCAGUUUAGAAGAAUAGGGUAAGAACCCUUUUGAAGAGCUGCCAUGUUGUGAAUAUUUCAUAUAUAUAUAUAUAUAUAUAUAUUACAGCUUUUUUUCUAUCAUUCUUCAGCCUUUAAUAUUUAGUGUUUAUGCCUGCACUCGAAUGACUUAAGCCCAAAUGUCUUAAACAUGUCUAUACGCUCUAGCGUAUUUAACAUGUCUAUCGCUGAAGAGUCUUUAACAUUUCUAUAAGCUUGAUAAGAGCCAUGUUGUGUGAAGUGUUUCUCUUGGGGUUGGUAUCACGGACACCGAUUUUUAGGAUAGUCCUGGACUGAAAAACGAUUUGAAUGGAGAUUCUUGGCUUAAUCUGUGUCCGGGAAACUGACCGUUACCGAAGAACCACGUGGUUUGAGUCUAACUGUAUAUCUUCUAAGUGCUUAUCUUAAUAACCAGCGUUGAUGUCUUCGUAAACUAUGACACGCUGGCCAUAAUAUGACCCACCUGUUUAUCUGUAUGUAUGAAGAUGAUGCAUCCUAGCCAUGCUUCUCUGAUGUACAGAUAUGUCCUUAUUUGGUAAAACUUCCUAUUGAUACCUUCUUCACAGUGCAUUAUAAGUGCAUUUAUAGUGCCUUAUGAGCUAUAUAUAAUGCACGACAUAGACAUACUGGAAGUGUUACGCCUUUAUUUAUUACAAAUGUCAUAUUUUUUUCAAUCUGCUCUAUUUUGUGCAAGAUGUUUCUAAUAUAAUGUCUCUGUGGCAGCUCCAAAUAAAGACACCUAAAGGGUUCUUUGGUUAUUUUUGUAUAAUCCUUUUUUGGUUCCAGGUAGAACCUUUUUUUUUUGGUUCCAGAACCUUUAACCAAAAGGUUCUUUUGAGGGUUCUUUGUUGGGUGAAAUAGUUCUGCCUGGAAGCAAAACAGUUCUACAGGGACAGCAAAAGAAACCUUUUAGGAACACUUUUGAUGGAGUAUGUGUGUCUUAAUGACAGUGCUAGUACUACUGACAGGCAUUGGUAAUAUACAGAUGAUGUAGCCUCGCUGAAAUGACAGGCUUUACGGCUGGCUAACUGACGCUUGGUUUAAACAAAGCAUCUUUUCCCGCCAGCGGUCUUCCACAAUGAUUCUUCUCUAAUAUGGCAUUCCAGAAUUGGCUGAUUUGUGUUUUAAUUUUAGUUUGUUUUGUUUAAAUGUUAUGUUUGACUUUCCAUGGCUCAAUUUAUGGGUCAGUUCAAGUAUAAUAUUGUCUUUAGUCACAUAUCCAGUUUGUAGUGUGUGUGAGUGUACAUAAGUUUUAUUUGUAUUGGAAGUAGAAAUAUGUGGAAGAGAGCUGCGGUUAGCACUGUGAUCAUUCCACUACUACAAACUCCUUAUUAAACUAUGGCUGAGAUUUAAAGUGUCUAUAAUUUGUCCAGACGUAAUAUUUUAAACGUGCUACUUUUCUGUUGUGUUUAGUUAAAUCUGGGUGGGCCCAUGUAGUCUGUCUUCAUUCCAAAUGGCACCAUAUUCCCUAUAGUGCACUACUCUUGACCAGAGUCCUUGUCAAAAUGGUGCACUAUAUAGGGAAUAGGGUGCUAUUUGGGAUCACCCUCUGUAUCCUGUUCCCAUCUCCUUUCUAUUGAGGCAUGAUGUGAUUGCUGACAUCCAGUAACAUGACCAUUUACCUCAGGAAGGCUGUUUAGAUUUCAAUAAUACUAUAAACAUAUGUGAUUAAUCAUUAUCUAACUCAAAGUAAAUGUUUUUUAAAUUAAAAGAUUUAAAAGCCCUUUGAUGUAACAUUACAUCGUUUAACUUGCAAUGGAAAGAGAGCUGUGAUCUGACCUACUCUGUAAAUGCAUAUACACCUGUAUGUUAUCAGUAGUCUUUUACUCUUGGCAAGUUCAAUGGUUUGUGUUGACUGCUGUUGGAAACAGUGCUGAGAUUAAAUCCAUUUUUGUUUGUUUCAAGCUCUUGGUUAGAUUUGUCUUCUACGAAGGUCUAUAUGCGUACAAUGUGUAACAUAAUCUAUCGGGAAGACUUUACACAAUGAAUAGCAUUAAAUGACUUCCAACUUUCUAUCUUAAAGAAAUCAUAUGAUUUAUCCUGUUUAUAUAAAAGUACACACGCAGCAAAGAGCGGUAGGGAGAGAGUGGACACACAAGCCGACCUCUGAAAUAUAUUCAUAUAGUUAAAUAGGGGAAUAACGGGCCAAUAUCGGCAUGUAAAACUGUAUCGGUUACUGGAGAAUGACGCCUCUUGCCGUGAAGUUUGCAUUGACGCACCAUAUUUUUACAUGAAGAGUAGUGUGAAAGUAGACCUUUGAUCAGCGCCUUUGCUCAGGGGGAAUGUUUUCUUGACGUGUGACACCUAAUGUGCCUAAUGAAGGUGUUGGCUCCCUGGUAAUCCAUUUAAUCCAGUCUACAAAGUCACUUAUCUCCUCUUCCAUUAUGCGCGUGCCAAUUAUCAGUCGUUUCUGUGUCCCGGUCACAUCUCCAAAGGGCUCUCUCCCUCUAUUUGGAUAACUAGAUCCGCGAGACACCCCCUCUUAAGCAUCACUCCUCUCUUCAACAGUGUAGAAGGUGUGAAGACGUGCGUAUCCGAACCAGUGCGACUCAGACACUGAUUGAUUUGGACAAACCUGCGUUGUAGAUAAUCGACUGACUUCAAUUGGAUAAUGGAUUAACGCGUCAGAGAACGCAAACAGGCUAUUCUCAACUCCAGAUGUCAAUGUAUUGGAAGAAAACACUCACCCAUCCAUAAGGAAGUGUACCCAACUAUUUUAACCUAGUUGAAUAAACCGUUCACCGGUGCGCACUGAGAGAGUGCGUGGUUGUGUGUGUCUUUUGUACUUAUAGCCCAAGUUGGUCUGGUUAAAUGGGGAGGCUUGAAGAACCUAGACAUUGACCUAGACGCAACAUAUAGGCAGGCAGACAGACAGUGAAAGGAGAAAUCAGUCGCUUUGAGAGUCUGAGUGGUCAGAGUUGCGUCGAAGUGCGGCAGAG